UCAUUACCAAAAAAUCAACAGAAAUUAAAAUAAGAGCUAUGGCAAAGUACACUACUUUUUUAGCCCUUCUCUUUUGCCUCUUCCUUGUUGCUGCAACUGAAAUACAAAUGGCAGAAGGAAAAUACUGUUGGAAAAAGAGUGACAAGUGGAAUGGACUUUGCUACUACUCUUACAAAUGUAGUUAUCAUUGCAAGCACUACUAUGGAGCUAAAUAUGGUAUGUGUAAGAAGUAUAAACCAUGGGGUCACAAAUAUUACUGGGCAAAAUAUGCUUGCUACUGUUAUUCACCUUGCCACUACUAAGAAUCUUUCAGUGUCUCAUGGCUUCGGUUUGACUAUGUAAACAAAUAAUUAAGAAGCUACCUAUUUAAUUUUAUGUGUGUAACAAUGUAAUAAGGCUUAUUCAUGUGUGAAACUAUGGCCAAGCUUUGUGUGAUGAAUAAAUGUAUUGUAUAUUUUUCAAUGAGUAUUAAUUGAUUUGAACUAUGGUGUUUUUC